CUCUUGGGAGUUGUAGUACGCAUCCAGUCAGGGUUGGAACCAUGGCGGUGACCAAGGAGCUCUUACAGAUGGACCUGUACGCCCUGCUAGGCAUUGAGGAGAAGGCGGCAGACAAAGAGGUGAAGAAGGCGUAUAGGCAGAAGGCCCUCGCCUGCCACCCAGACAAAAAUCCGGAUAAUCCCAGGGCAGCUGAACUCUUCCACCAGCUUUCUCAGGCCUUGGAGGUGCUGACUGAUGCUGCAGCCAGGGCUGCUUAUGACAAGGUCAGGAAAGCCAAGAAGCAGGCAGCAGAGAGGACCCAGAAACUUGACGAGAGAAGGAAGAAAGUGAAGCUUGACCUAGAGGCUCGGGAGUGGCAGGCCCAGGCCCAGGGGAGUGAGGAGGAGGAGGACAGCAGGAGCACCAGGACACUAGAGCAAGAGAUCGAACGCCUACGAGAAGAAGGUUCCCGGCAACUACAGGAACAGCAGAGGCUGAUCCAGGAGCAGAUACGCCAGGAACGUGACCAGAGGUUGAGAGGAAAGGCAGAAAAUACUGAUGACAAAGGAACCCCCAAAUUAAAGCUAAAAUGGAAGUGCAAGAAGGAGGAUGAGUCAAAAGGUGGCUACUCCAAAGAUGUUCUCCUGCGGCUUUUGCAAAAGUAUGGUGAGGUUCUCAACCUAGUGCUUUCCAGUAAGAAGGCAGGCACUGCUGUGGUGGAGUUUGCGACUGUCAAGGCCGCGGAGCUGGCUUUCCAGAAUGAAGUUGGCCUGGCCAGUAACCCUCUGAAGAUUUCCUGGUUGGAGGGACGGCCCCAGGGCAUGGCGGGCCCCAGCUACCCAGGCCUCUCAAAGAGGAGCCUUUCAGCUCAGCACCUCUGACAAGAGAAGCAAAGAGGGAGGCCACUGAUUUGGGCUGUGGAAGCGGCGUGUGUAGAAGCCUUCCUCCCCCCCUGCCACUCUUGGAGAGGCCCAGCAGCCAGUACCACGUGGCCCAGCUGAGCGCUGCUGGGCUCUUGCUUCAGGGCUCAGUGCUGUCAGAGAGGGACUACGAGAGCCUGGUCAUGAUGCGCAUGCGCCAGGCUGCUGAGCGGCAGCAGCUGACGGCCCG